AUUGAAAUAUAAGAUGAAUCUUAACAACCAUCAAGAGACACACUAACCAAUAGUUCUAAUUUAAGAAUGUAACUUUUCACACUAUAAAAUAAUUAUUAAGAUGUAUACUUCAAAAUGCAAAGGAGAGAAUAUAUGGCACAAAUUCUUAAGAUUUUUAAUGUCAUAAUUAUUUUUCUUUUCAUAUUUAUCGUUGUAACCGAUGGUAUUACAAUAACCAGUGGUAAGUUCAAAUUUUUAAUUUAUUUUCAAAAUCUAUUUCUUUAUUUUAUAUACAAUGUUUCAUUUCUUAUUUUCAAAAUCUAUUUCUUUAUUUUAUAUACAAUGUUUCAUUUCUUAUUUAUUAUUUUUUUGAUUUGACAUCAAAGGGACUAUCAAAUGCCAGAGUAAUGAGAUAUGUCAUAAUCGAAGGCCUACUUGCAAACUUCCUAAAAUGUCAAGGUGUGUAGAAGGGAUAUGCAAAUGUUUGUAAUCGUAGGAAUAAAGUUCAAAAAUAAUUCAAUGUAUUUGCAACUAUAAUGUUCUCAAAUACUUCAACCUAUUUUCUUUGAACUUCAAAUAAAUUUGAUCUCCUCAAAUACUUAUUAUUGUAUUAUGUCAGUUGCAUUAGUCCACUUUUAGAAUUAAAAUAUUGAAUUUGUUAUGAUAAAUUGAUUUUAAUGAAAUAAGUAUCUUUAUUAUUUGGAAAAGAAUAACAAAUGAUAAAAUAAGAGCUCUCUACAAUCUAUUAUUUUCUUUAAAAGCGUCGUUUUGAAAGAAUACAUUAGACCUAUUUAUAGUAGAGAAAAAUAUGAAGUUUGUGUACUAUUAUGGAA
rnacentral:lncRNA from 1 species